AUGAACGCUGGCGGCGUGCCUAACACAUGCAAGUCGAACGAAGCUUGACGGAUGAUUUCUUCGGAAUGAAACCAGAUAUGACUUAGUGGCGGACGGGUGAGUAACACGUGAGCAACCUGCCCUUCAGAGGGGGAUAGUGUCUGGAAACGGACAGUAAUACCGCAUAAUGUACAUUGAUGGCAUCUUCGAUGUACCAAAGCUUUUGCGCUGAAGGAUGGGCUCGCGUCUGAUUAGAUAGUUGGUGGGGUAAUGGCCUACCAAGUCGACGAUCAGUAGCCGGACUGAGAGGUUGAACGGCCACAUUGGGACUGAGACACGGCCCAGACUCCUACGGGAGGCAGCAGUGGGGAAUAUUGCACAAUGGGCGCAAGCCUGAUGCAGCAACGCCGCGUGGAGGAAGACGGUUUUCGGAUUGUAAACUCCUGUUCUUAGUGAAGAAUAAUGACGGUAGCUAAGGAGCAAGCCACGGCUAACUACGUG
rnacentral:rRNA from 1 species